GACGAACGCUGGCGGCGUGCUUAACACAUGCAAGUCGAACGGAAAGGCCCUGCUUUUGUGGGGUGCUCGAGUGGCGAACGGGUGAGUAACGCGUGAGUAACCUGCCCUUGACUUUGGGAUAACUUCAGGAAACUGGGGCUAAUACCGGAUAGGAGCUCCUGCUGCAUGGUGGGGGUUGGAAAGUUUCGGCGGUUGGGGAUGGACUCGCGGCUUAUCAGCUUGUUGGUGGGGUAGUGGCUUACCAAGGCUUUGACGGGUAGCCGGCCUGAGAGGGUGACCGGCCACAUUGGGACUGAGAUACGGCCCAGACUCCUACGGGAGGCAGCAGUGGGGAAUAUUGCACAAUGGGCGGAAGCCUGAUGCAGCAACGCCGCGUGCGGGAUGACGGCCUUCGGGUUGUAAACCGCUUUCGCCUGUGACGAAGCGUGAGUGACGGUAAUGGGUAAAGAAGCACCGGCUAACUACGUGCCAGCAGCCGCGGUGAUACGUAGGGUGCGAGCGUUGUCCGGAUUUAUUGGGCGUAAAGGGCUCGUAGGUGGUUGAUCGCGUCGGAAGUGUAAUCUUGGGGCUUAACCCUGAGCGUGCUUUCGAUACGGGUUGACUUGAGGAAGGUAGGGGAGAAUGGAAUUCCUGGUGGAGCGGUGGAAUGCGCAGAUAUCAGGAGGAACACCAGUGGCGAAGGCGGUUCUCUGGGCCUUUCCUGACGCUGAGGAGCGAAAGCGUGGGGAGCGAACAGGCUUAGAUACCCUGGUAGUCCACGCUGUAAACGGUGGGUACUAGGUGUGGGGUCCAUUCCACGGGUUCCGUGCCGUAGCUAACGCUUUAAGUACCCCGCCUGGGGAGUACGGCCGCAAGGCUAAGACUCAAAGGAAUUGACGGGGCCCCGCACAAGCGGCGGAGCAUGCGGAUUAAUUCGAUGCAACGCGUAGAACCUUACCUGGGUUUGACAUGGAUCGGGAGUGCUCAGAGAUGGGUGUGCCUCUUUUGGGGUCGGUUCACAGGUGGUGCAUGGCUGUCGUCAGCUCGUGUCGUGAGAUGUUGGGUUAAGUCCCGCAACGAGCGCAACCCUUGUUCACUGUUGCCAGCACGUUAUGGUGGGGACUCAGUGGAGACCGCCGGGGUCAACUCGGAGGAAGGUGGGGAUGACGUCAAGUCAUCAUGCCCCUUAUGUCCAGGGCUUCACGCAUGCUACAAUGGCUGGUACAGAGAGUGGCGAGCCUGUGAGGGUGAGCGAAUCUCGGAAAGCCGGUCUCAGUUCGGAUUGGGGUCUGCAACUCGACCUCAUGAAGUCGGAGUCGCUAGUAAUCGCAGAUCAGCAACGCUGCGGUGAAUACGUUCCCGGGGCU
rnacentral:rRNA from 1 species